CUACACCCUUCACCCUUGUACUCUUAAAGUUUAAUUGAAAGCCCAAACAAAUACAAAAGCCCACUCCCUUUGUUCUUUGUUUUUGAAGGCGGGACAAUCUCAAAAGAACACUGCUUCAGCGACCUCACAGAACCAUCGAGGACCCACUGCUGCUGCCGGCCAGCCGCUGCUCCGGCCUCCGAAUCUCUGACAUCCGGCCAGCCUACUCCGACCAGUUCCGGUCGCCUACCAAUUUGGGGAACUUGGAAGAUGAAAAAACAAAGUCUUAUUAGCAAUUUUUUUAAACGAAAAUUCCAAGAAAAUGAUGAUAUUGGUCCAACUCCAAGUUUAAAUAUUGAUGAUGGUAUCCAGGCAAAUGUAGAUAUCGGUCCAAGUUCAAAUAUUGAUAAUGAUAUGCAAGAAAAUGAUGAUAUUGGUCUAAAUAUUCCUUCGGCUUUAAGUCCUUCAAUACGAAAUACAAUCGAUUUGGCUGAUCUUCCUUCGGAUCCCUCUGAUAGACCACCUAUUGCUAGUUAUCAUCCUAAUCAAAUAGAUGACAUAAGGAGAGCGUAUCUUGUUAAAAAGGCUUUUCAACCACGAGGUCAUGACUUUAAAUGGACAAACUAUUCUAGUGGUCGGAGACGUUUUAAUGUGAAAUGGUUUGAUAAAUAUGAUUGGUUGGAGUAUAGCACUAAACAAGAAAAGGCAUAUUGCUUAUGUUGUUACUUGUUUAAUGAAAGUGUUGGUAAUCAAGGUGGAAGAGAGGCUUUUGUAAGUGGAGGCUUUUGUAAUUGGAGUAAACCAGGUGCCUUAAAAAAACAUGUUGGGUUACUUAACAGUUUACAUAAUAAGGCGGCACAAAAAUGCAACAAUCUCUCGAACCAAAAGCGAUCCUGUGAUGCGAAAAUCACUAAGCAUAGUAAGGAAGAAAAGAUUGCAAAUCAGUAUUGAUUAAUGGGUUUUGUUCGUAGUGCUGGAUCCUAUGAUGCGAAAGUCACUAGCAUUGGUUUUACCAGUUGCAACCGUUUUCUCUAAAAUCAAGCUAAUCAAGACAUAUUUACGCAAUCGAAUGGGUGAAGAGUAUUUGUGUGAUGCUCUAAUUUGUGCGAUCGAAAGAGAAACUUUUGAUAAAGUGAAGGAAAAGGAUGUAAGGGCUCGAUUUCAAGCUUUCAAAAUCCAAAGAGAAAUCUAUUAGAGUUGCAGGAUUGAAAGAAUAAUUGCGAGAACUAUUGGAGUGUGGUUCCAUUACAGCAAACGUAUAUUCGUUGGGCAGUUGUUCAUCAUCAUCAUCAUCAUACUCAGUAAAUCCCAUCAAUAGCAAAACUAAGAUAGCGUCUGAGGAGGGUAAGAUGCAGACAGCCUUACCUCUACCCCGAAGGAAUAGAGAGGCUGCUUCCAGUGAGACCCCCGGCUCCAUAGUAGUUUUGCAUCAAGCCUUGGACAUAAGGCGCUAACACAUAAGGCGCUAACUCUCGGCAAAAGGCCGAUUAGUGCAUAUACUCUCUUGUCGUUGGGCAACUGUUGGGAUAACUAAUUUGACCUAACUUUAAGGUGGUAAUUUUUUAUCAACAAAAGACACGAGGUUGAGACUACCAAAUAAACAAGACGUGAUAUUAAGGUGGUAAUCUAUUAUCAAACAAAGACAUGAGGUUGAGGCUACCAAAUUAAUAAGACGUGAUAGUGAUUUCUACCGGCUUAAA